UACGUAGGGGGCUAGCGUUGUCCGGAAUCAUUGGGCGUAAAGCGCGCGUAGGCGGCCAGAUAAGUCCGGUGUGAAAGUCACAGGCUCAACCUGUGAAUGCCGCUGGAAACUGUCUGGCUUGAGUCCGGAAGGGGCGAGUGGAAUUCCUGGUGUAGCGGUGAAAUGCGCAGAUAUCAGGAGGAACACCGGUGGCGAAGGUGGGUCUCUGGGCCGAUACUGACGCUGAGGAGCGAAAGCGUGGGGAGCGAACAGG
rnacentral:rRNA from 1 species